CCCUUAGAUGUUCUGGGCCGCACGCGCACUACACUGACUACUUCAACGAGUUGUUUCCUUGAUCGAAAGGUCUGGGUAAUCUUUGAAAGGUAGUCGUGAUGGGGAUAGAUCCUUGCAAUUUUUGAUCUUCAACGAGGAAUUCCUAGUAAACGCAAGUCAUCAGCUUGCAUUGAUUACGUCCCUGCCCUUUGUACACACCGCCCGUCGCACCUACCGAUUGAAUGGUCCGGUGAAUCUUUAGGACUGUGGCUGAGGCCUUGCCUUGUGCGGGUCUGGCCGUGGGAAUUUAGUUAAACCUUACCAUUUAGAGGAAGGUGAAGUCGUAACA
rnacentral:rRNA from 1 species